rnacentral:misc_RNA from 1 species
AAGUCGUAACAAGUUUUCCGUAGGUGAACCUGCGGAAGGAUCAUUAACAACGUUAACCCCCCUGUUGCUCGUACGCUUUGUUAGAAAGUAGCAAUCCCUGGUAAAUCAUCGCCAAACAGUUUUGAUUCAGGGAUCUCUGCGAAGAGUGUGCAUGUUGCGCGAGGUAAGUGGCCUGGCAUCCCCAAGGAGUUAUUGGCUGAAAGUGUCAACUGGCGCAGUCACGAUCGUUGGAGGCCGACACGGCAGACGACCGGGUCACCGGGCUCACGCCCCCUUAUCACAACACCCAUGCAUGAAGACGCGCCUGUGCUAAAAGCGACCAAAAACUGUUAACAAUGGAUAUCUUGGUUC